CUUCCGGUAUACUUCCGGAAAAUUUGCAUACAACUAACAAGUGAGCUUUGUUCUCUGUAAAAUUCUAAACACUUUGUGCUAAUUUUAAGCAAAGGGAAAUGGUCUUUUUGAUUACUUUUAAGACUUAUGACUAUCUAAGGCCAGUCCUUUAGAUAGUGAGUUUUGGCCGUGUCAAAUAGAUGGCGUGAAAGAAUGUUGUGUCAGAUAUGGGCUUAUGGCGGUUCGUUGUCAAAAGUUCAGUUACAGCUAUCUUCUUCGAAAAUUACCGAUGAAUUCGUUGGAGGAAAUGUGAAAGGUGCAUGUACUGUCAACUAUUGUGUUAAAAAUCCUGGUAUCAUACUGAAUAUGUUAUCCAAAUAACAGAGUGGAUUCAUCACUAUUAUCGGCUGAAUCAUUCUAUGGGACUUGCCAGAUCACCAGCCCCAGCAUAGAGCAAUCUCUCAUUCCAUCAUCUAGAGAACCUUGGAUAACUGAUUACUUGUUUCAUGUGUUUUAAAUUACAGGUUUCUCAAUUGGCAGACAGACAGACUUUAUGAGAAAUCAUGUUCUUUCAAGAGAAGGACAAGGAC